rnacentral:rRNA from 1 species
ACGCGAAGAACCUUACCCAGGCUUGAACAGCGAGUGACCAUCGACGAAAGUUGACUUCCGCAAGGACACUCGUAGAGGUGCUGCAUGGCUGUCGUCAGCUCGUGUCGUGAGAUGUUGGGUUAAGUCCCGCAACGAGCGCAACCCUUGUUUGCUGUUGCCAUCACGUUAUGGUGGGCACUCUGCAAAGACUGCCGGUGAUAAACCGGAGGAAGGUGGGGAUGACGUCAAGUCAGCAUGGCCUUUAUGUCUGGGGCUACACACGUGCUACAAUGGCCGAUACAAACCGUCGCGAGCCCGCAAGGGGGAGCUAAUCGGAGAAAGUCGGUCUCAGUUCGGAUAGCAGGCUGCAACUCGCCUGCUUGAAGUUGGAAUCGCUAGUAAUCGCGGAUCAGCACGCCGCGGUGAAUACGUUCCCGGGCCUUGUA